AGCCCUUGGGUAGUGCACAAUCCAAGUCCGCCGGUUAUGCUGUAAGUUUUUUUAGAGGGAUUCACGGCUUUGAAGCCGUCAGAGAAUGAGAGCAAUAACAGGUUUGUGAUGCCCUUAGAUGGUUUGGGCCGCACGCGCGGUACAAUGCGGGCACAGCAGGUGUUUUACCUUUUUCGAGAGGAGCGGGCAACCCUUUGAAAGCCCUUGGCGUGCUUGGGCCUGGAGCUUGCAAUUUUUCUCCACAAACGAGGAAUGCCUAGUAGCGGGGGGGCAAUGAGCCCCCCGUGAAUCAGUCCCUGCCCUUUGUACACACCGCCCGUCGCUAAUACCGAUUGGGUGUACCAGUGAGAGCCUUGGACUGGCGGCCGCUGCCCCUUCGGGCAAGCGGAUUCGACUGAAAGAGGUCCGAACUGGUGCACUUAGAGGAAGUAAAGGUCAUGCA
rnacentral:rRNA from 1 species